GACGAACGCGGCGGCGUGCCUAAUACAUGCAAGUCGAACGCUUUUUCUUUCACCGGAGCUUGCUCCACCGAAAGAAAAAGAGUGGCGAACGGGUGAGUAACACGUGGGUAACCUGCCCAUCAGAAGGGGAUAACACUUGGAAACAGGUGCUAAUACCGUAUAACACUAUUUUCCGCAUGGAAGAAAGUUGAAAGGCGCUUUUGCGUCACUGAUGGAUGGACCCGCGGUGCAUUAGCUAGUUGGUGAGGUAACGGCUCACCAAGGCAGCGAUGCAUAGCCGACCUGAGAGGGUGAUCGGCCACACUGGGACUGAGACACGGCCCAGACUCCUACGGGAGGCAGCAGUAGGGAAUCUUCGGCAAUGGACGAAAGUCUGACCGAGCAACGCCGCGUGAGUGAAGAAGGUUUUCGGAUCGUAAAACUCUGUUGUUAGAGAAGAACAAGGAUGAGAGUAGAACGUUCAUCCCUU
rnacentral:rRNA from 1 species